UACGGAGGGGGCGAGCGUUUAUUCGGAAUUAUUGGGCGUAAAGGGCGCGUAGGCGGCUUGACAAGUCAAAGGUGAAAUCCCUCGGCUCAACUGAGGAACUGCCUUUGAAACUGUCAGGCUUGAGGCCGGGAGGGGGUAGCGGAAUUCCCAGUGUAGCGGUGAAAUGCGUAGAUAUCAGGAGGAACACCGGUGGCGAAGGCGGAUCUCUGGGCCUUACCUGACGCUCAGGCGCGAAAGCUAGGGGGAGCGAACAGG
rnacentral:rRNA from 1 species